rnacentral:rRNA from 1 species
UACGUAGGGGGCUAGCGUUGUCCGGAAUCAUUGGGCGUAAAGCGCGUGUAGGCGGUCCGGUAAGUCCGCUGUGAAAGUCGGGGGCUCAACCCUCGAAUGCCGGUGGAUACUGUCGGGCUAGAGUGCGGAAGAGGCGAGUGGAAUUCUCGGUGUAGCGGUGAAAUGCGUAGAUAUCGAGAGGAACACCUGCGGCGAAGGCGGGUUGCUGGGCUGACACUGACGCUGAGGCGCGAAAGCCAGGGGAGCGAACGGG